GCGCAAAAACAGUGCUUGAGCAGACGCCAUUAUUCACAGAGAUAGUCUCGGUAAAAAUUUCAUUUUAAAGUCGGAUUUCGGGUUUGAGGAACCGUUUUUACACUUCCGUGGUAAAUUAUAUUUUGUUAAAUGUAACAAACUGUAACGUUAACUUAGUUGCUGUCUUCCUUGUUUGCCAAAUGAAUGUCGGAGGCUCAAAUUUGACAUUUUCAGCACACCGUCACAUCUCACUAGACGUGGAGAGCGCUGUGUGCCUUCAACAGAAGCUGGCAGAGGAAUUGUCAAGAAAAGAAGAUACCAUUACGACUUUUUUUUUAUUCUUUAAAAGAGAUUAUACAACUAGGUGAAGAUCUGACAUCGCGGAAUUCUUCAAGGAUAACGCAACUUUUCUGCCAAACGAGGUUGUAAUUGCUGCUGUAUUGUGCAUCCCAAGUACUCCCUGCAUUCUUAUCAAGGAUUGCUGUCAUUCAAGAACUUAUCAUUUCCUCCCCCAUUGUGGCUGAGCUACACAUUCUCUUCAUUUUAUUUUAAACAUAAAACAUCCAGAGGAGAUGGCACCUACGUUGG